rnacentral:rRNA from 1 species
GACGAACGCUGGCGGCGUGCUUAACACAUGCAAGUCGAACGGUAGGGCCCUUUCGGGGGUACACGAGUGGCGAACGGGUGAGUAACACGUGGGUAAUCUGCCCUGCACUUUGGGAUAAGCCUGGGAAACUGGGUCUAAUACCGGAUAGGAGCGUCCGCCGCAUGGUGGGGGUUGGAAAGUUUUUUCGGUGCAGGAUGGGACCGCGGCCUAUCAGCUUGUUGGUGGGGUAAUGGCUUACCAAGGCGACGACGGGUAGCCGG